rnacentral:lncRNA from 13 species
CAGAGACAGGUUGAAAAUGUCAGUGAAGACACUUGCCAGUUGGUCAGCACAUGCUCAGUGUACACAUCUUGGUAAUCCGUCUGGCCCUGCGGUCUUGUAAGUGUUGACCUGUUUAAAGGUCUUACUCACAUCGGCUGCGGAGAGUGUGAUCAUACAGUCGUCCGGAACAGCUGAUGGAUGCUCUCAUGCAUGCUUCAGUGUUGCUUACUUUGAAGCGAGCAUAGUGAUUUAGCUUGUCUGGUAGGCUUGUGUUACUGGGCAGCUCGCGGCUGUGCUUCCCUUUGUUGUCCAUAAUAGUGUGCAAGCCCUGCCACACCCGACGAGCGUCGGAGCCGGUGUAGUAGAUUCAAUCUUAGUCUUGUAUUGACGCUUUGCCUGUUUUAUGGUUCAUCAGAGGGCAUACCGGGAUUUCUUAUAAGCAUCUGGGUUAAAGUCCGGCUCCUUGACUAGGCUACAUAUACUUUGUCCUUGGUGCUAUGGAUGUGUAUUUGUUAUGGCUACCGUUAACAUGUUGUUUUCCUAGCUACUACUAUGUAACUACAGCUUUCCAUGUAAAGGAACAUUACUUGGUCUGACUUAAAUUAUUCUGCAUCCAUCUUGGAUUUCAAGUCAUAUCUGGGAAUUUGACCCCCAUGGGAUCCCAUUGCCAAAGCACUGAACUACAUACUGUAUAUCUUUGGUAGCUGCCUGAGGUUCCAGUCACUGUUAAGAAACUAUCACCAAGACCUCAAACUGGCUCUGGACGUCUCCUCCUUCUACCAACAGGCUGACAACAUCAUCUGCACCAUCAACAGGAAGAGAAGCGUCCUGUCUGGAUCCGAUAACCAGGGGAGCUGCGGUCAGACAGAGAUCUACAAUAUUGCCAGCCAAAUCACGAUGCUGAACGAGACUGUUUCACGCCUUUCGGACCUCCACCCUACCCUGGCUGCCAGAGUGACACGGAAACAGGCUGAGGUGCAGGAGAGUUGGGGCCUUCUCCAGGAGGGUAGUGGGAGCGAGUGGCCAGAUUUGCCCACCACCCUUGCCAUAGACUUCUCCUGUGAUGAACCUGGCCCACUGAGUCAAACCAGAGAUCCGGAACAUGAGGCCCAGAGGAUCAUAGGAAAGGACAUCAAAGAGGAACAGAACCCUCUCAAAGGGUUCGAGAACAUGAAAGACUGUGGGAUCCCCAGGAAGCUGACUGUUAGUCAAGUUGAAGAACAGCCUUCCAAAAGCUAUGCCCGAGUCUCCUGUGACACCACCAGCAAUGACUUGACUGGAAGACUGUGUGUGGAGAGGCAAAGAAAGGACCAGACAACCCAUUUGAACACCGGUUUUCCAGGUUGCCAAUCAGAACUUGGUAUUCAGUUGCAAAAUUCUACCACAUCUGCUGAUAAGACUCUGUCAUGGCUGAAAGACAACCUUGCUAUGUCAACCCCCAGCCACCACACAGCCAGUCUGAGUGGUCCAGAGGAAAAGCCAGAGUCAACCCAAGGCCAGCACCAAGAUUGUGUGAAGAUGGAAGACCUCCUUGGCCAAGUGGAAAUGUUAUGGGAAGUUCUGAGGGGAAGACUUCAUAGAAGCAUGAUUUAUUCAAACAGCUCUGAGAGGCUCAAGUUUGAGGGGGAUGACAAUCAUGAGACAGACAAGGAUCGGCUCGAGGGAUGCCUUUCAGAAUACAGUGCAACCACGGAAAACGUGCAAUUCUGGAGCGUCCCAGAUAUCAAGGAUCUCUCUGAGACAUUGGAGGAAAACGACAGAGGAAUGCUGACAGAGCUGCUGAGGUGUCUUGACCAGGAUGAAAACUUUGAUCAUUGUGAGGUAGAGGAACAGACCCUUACUGGACAAAUGGAUGACCAAGGGUGCAUGGACUACCCUAUGGAGGACCUUGGUGAAGCAGUGGAGAAAAGAGGACAUUCCCUCUAUCAAAGUGAAGACACCCAAGAACUUAUGAGUCAGCACUCAACACUGACGCUGCGCAUCAACCAGCUCUUGUCCAGGUGUGCAGAGUUCAGCAUGGACAUUCUGGACACUGAGACGGACAUGGCAGUCAGAUGUGAGCCCUAUAGUUCUGAACUCGAGGGACUGCAGGAGCAACAGGAUGAGCUAGAGAGGGACUAUCAGGUCAUAAAAGAGGAGGUGGAAGAGAUGGAGGGACUGACUUUGCGACUACAGGUCCUCCUACCUGAAAUGCCAGGGGCUUUGGGGGAGGACAUCCAUGCGACCCAGCAUGCUUGGGAGGAGUUGGGCUUGAGCAUGGCAGAGAACCAAUGCAACCUCCAACAAUUUCAGCAACUGCAAGACUUUCUUAGGGCCUACCUGGCCAUGAUCUCAUGGACAGAGGACACACAGACUUGCAUUUUCUCAGAGGCUUCAGUCCAGCAGUGGAGCUUGGCAGAAUUGAGUGUUCCAUCUGAGCUGGAUCUGAGGAUAGAGCAGAAGUUUGACGAGUUUGACAAGCUCGCUGCUGCUGGGCAGAAGAUUAUCAAGGAGCGACAUCACUUGGCAGAUAUUAUAAAGGAGAGGACUGAGGAACUACAAAGCAUUCUGGGAUGGAUCCUGGUAUACUGGAGGGCACAGAAAGACCAGCUGGGUCAGGAGAGGCCAAGCGAUUCAAGAAGAAGUGAUGCCCCUCAAGGAGACGCAACCAGAUUUUCACAAGGUCAACCCCAGAAUCUAUCCUCUCUGGCAGAACACAAGUCCUCUGAAAGUCUGUCCACAAAGCACAGGCUCAUGGUGGCGAGCCAGUUUGAAGGACCACAAAAAUCCCAACCAGGGAUAGGUCACCAUGCAGAAAACUUUGCCAAUCCAGUAAACGUAACACGACACGUCCCCUUGGCUGUGGUAGUAAACUCGCCCAGCAUUAUCCUUGAAGAGCCCUGUGCUACUGUCACCCCACUGGGCAGCAGCAUCAACCUCAUCCUCAGUUUUGACCAACAGCCACCAGGGGGCGAUCUGCAACAGGGGCCAGUGGAGCCAAAGCAGGCAGGGGAACCUGUGCAUAGGGUGAGCACCUAUCUGCAAGUCACAGAUGGAAGUCCUGUUUUUGAAGACGUGGCAUCGUCUCAUGUUACUGACACGAGCCACGUGUCAACCACCUUUUCCACAAGCUCAAUCAACGCUACUUUCAUUCCCCAAGUCAGGACUGUCUUGCUCCCCACCUUACCCAGAACCAGUUCCACCUCUACCUUAAACCUGAAGGGACCGAUGAAGAGGAAGAAAAUGACACACAGACACACUGUGACUGGAAUUGUCGCAAUGCCCAAGCCAGAGGGGGUUACUACCGCGCCCACCAAUGUCAAACACAGGGCUUACACCUGGCCACUGGAGGAUAAGAAGGAAUGUCAUGCCACACAAGGGAGUCCAGGUAAUACAGAACUCCAACUGUAUAUCAAAAAUAAUUCUGUGGUGAGUGUCAUGGAUGGCAACUCUUCAGGCACGUCAAGCAUUCCUACCAUCCAGGGGCAUUUCUUGCAUGGGCCCAAUGAGAUGACCAUUAGGCAAGACAAGAGCCACUAUGGCAUUAUCCAUCUUGGGUCGAUGUUGAGUUUUGACCUGACUACGGAUUGCGGGAAAAUCUCACAGAUAAAUGCAAAAGACCUCACAACUGAGAAAGUGCCUUUUGAAGCCAAUGGAGACCAUGCCAGUCCACCUUUGAAUCUGUACAGACCAUCAGGCUCAAACACACUCGGUCAGACUCAAGUAUCAUCCAAAGUAAUUGGACAGACUUUUGCCCUCAGUCCAGAAAAGGAAAGGCAUCUUGAAGCUGAUGGGGACUGUAGACCGUCAGGCUCAAAUACACUCAGUCUAACUCAGAAAGUGAUUGGGCAGAAUUUCACCCUCAGUCCAGGGGAGGAAAGUAUCUGCGAAACAGUGGACUUUGCUGUUCAAAAUUGUUCACCUUUGAAUCUAUACAAAUUGGCAGACUCAAAUACACUCAGUCAGACUCACAAAGUGAUUGGACAUACUUUUGCCCUCAGUCCAAAAGAAGAAAAGAGCUGUGAAGUAGCUAGGCAGGACUCGCAGAAGGUCAGCUCAGAGUCUGUUUCUCUUUUGGUUCAGUGUCUCUCUCUACCUGAGAAAGACAACGUCUAUCAAGACCUAAAAAGCGCCACAAGGAGUCCUGCCCUUGCUGCUGGACAUGAGAACAUUUUCUCCAGCACUGUUGGCAUCCACCAUGAGGAUACGGUCGAGAUUUCCAUUCCAGUGGCUAUUUUGGACUCUAACAAGCAACGCACUGAAUCAAACUGCAGCAGCUCGAUGAUGCAUGACCACGCCCGCACUGAACCAUCACAGAACCACAACUGUUUAAGUGUUCACACUAAGAUUCAAGACCUCAAUAACCACAUAUACUUCCCUUCUGCAAAGAGGCAAUUCGCUUUCCAAAGUGACCUUCGAGUUGUAGAGAUCAAGGGCUUGUCUACUGGGUCUGAAGACUCCACAUGGAUGGGUGUGCGCAGUUCUGGACGAGUCAUUGUGUGCUAUGAGGACAACUGUUGCAUAUGCUCCGACAGUCCGGCACCUAUGAUGGUAUUGGAAAAAGAAACUUCACCCAAAAGAGAACCAGAUCAUAUUCAUCCUGAUCAUUGGCAGUUUGAGGAGGAGGAAGAGGAGCUGGAGGAUAUUUGGAAUUGCACAGCCCGGGAAAGAGCACCUUGAAUUACUGUGGUCCAAAAAUCUGAGGUGAUGCCCUUGCCACACAGACCAGUGACCAACCAGCCAGAGAUUAAAGUGGCCCUAAACGUAAAGCGUCUCAGAAUAGGAGUGCUGAUCUAGGAUUAGUUUGCCUUUUAGAACAAAAUUAAUAAGAUUAUAUGGACAGAUCCUAGAUCAGCACUCCUACUCUGAGAUGCUUUGUGGGAUACGGACACAGAUCUAGGAUCAGCUUAUUCUCCCCCUUUUCCAACUUUGACUCCAGAUGGACUUUUACUUCACAUUUCCGCAGUGACAGAGGAUCAUCGUGUACAAGCAGCAGAGGUGGAAAAAGUACUCAAUUGUCACACCUUAAUAGAAAAUGACUCAAGUAAAAGUGAAAGUCACCCAGUAACAUAUUACUUGAGUAAAAGUCCAAAAGUAUUUGGUUUAAAAUAUACUUAAAUGUCAAAAGUAAAAGUAGAAACCAUUUCAAAUUCCUAAUAAUAAGCAAACCAGGUGAAUGAGCCAAUUGGAAGCUGGGGAUGAUUAGGUGGCCAUGAUGGUAUGAGGGCCAGAUUGGGAAUUUAGCCAGGGCAUCAAGGUUAACACCCCUACUCUUAUGAUACGUGCCAUGGUAUGUUUAGUGACCACAGAGAGUCAGGACACCCGAUUAACUUCACAUACCAAAGACAGAUUUCCACUCAAUAAUUGAUGGAUGACAAUGGCCAAUGGAGGGCCGAAACACUAUAGUCUUUUUUGUGACUCUUUCCAUUGGUUACUGGCUGUUAACACAACUUGAGUGUAUAUGAUACAACAUAAAACAAUAUAACAUUACUGUAUUGAAGAAAUCAGACAUGUAGGGUCACAAAUAGUGCAAUACACUGAACUGAAUGGACUUACCCCAUUGAAUACCAUACAAGAUGAUCAAAAUGUAUUUGCUCUGUCUUUAAUGCCACUUGGUGUCUUAUUUCUUUCAACCGUGUAUGAAUUGCAUGCAGGGCACAUAAACUGCUAUUUUAAUCUGCUGUACAGUAGACUAUCACUUAUCAUUUUAAUCACUUUUGUAAAAAAGAAAACAAAAAGAGAAAUAAAGCAAAGAAUUUGCAGCUUCUUCAUAUUGAAUUGAAGUAGUUUGUCAUUAGUUGUAAUAAAGAUACCUUUUUCAGGUUAUCAUGAAGUUCUAGGAGUAGAUGUUUUAGAUGGUCAGGCUCAGAUAUAUUCACUUUAUUACUGUUACAAAAAGCAAGACAACUUGUAGUCCAAUUCGUGGCUCUGCAAACUUCCAGUUGGGGCCAGUAAUGGACCAUUUAAGAGCCUUCAUUUAUAUAGGCUACUUUAUCUGGACACAAUCUAGGCCAUUACGUAAUUCAUUGUCGAGCAGCACUGGAAAGAUAGUGUCACUACUAUUAUUUAUGCUCAUUUUUCAUUAUUGUAUGCUCAUUCUUUCUGCAU